CUGACUCUUUGCAACCCCAAGGACUGUACGGUCCGCGGAAUGCUCCAGGCCAGAAUACUGGAGUAGGUAGCCUUUCCCUUCUCCAGGGGAUCUUCCCAAACCAGGGAUCGAACUGAGGUCUCCUGCAUUGCUGGAGGAUUCUUCACCAAGUGAGCUAUCAGGGAAGCCCAUAAGGCUGGUGCAACUGGGGGGCAUCCAGGACAUAUAAGGAAUUAAUUGUGUUUUGUGGGCGUCUUUCAUCCAAGGACAUCUGUUAUGUCAUAUUCUCUGUACUCUGAGCAAUGGGCGGCACAGAGGCUCCAGAGAAAGAGAUUGUGGUGUUAGCGUCUCAGUGUUUCUAAAUCACGGUAAACACUAACUUGGAGCCUGCCUGUCUGGACUGGCUGUGUACGGAAGAGAUAGAGAAGCAGUCCCAGAAGCGCGGCUGAGCCGGCCCGACCAGGAAGUGGGCUGGAGCAUUUGUUAGAGAUGCCUUCUCUCGGGCAGGAUGGAACCCAGUGCUGGAGACGGGGGUGAGGGCCCCUGGGUGAGGGCUGGAGUCCAGUUGAGCAAGACUGGAGCUGAGAGAUCUCAGCUGUCUAGAGUGGAACUUCCACACUACAGGCUGGAUUUUCCAGAACUAGGUAGAAGUUCUUCCCUUUGCUUGGCCCGGGUGUUGAUUUGGUGUAUCGGGCAGGUACCCCAACCAUUGACAUCAUCUGCUCCUGACCUGCAACCAUCAAUGGUCCAAGAUCACUCAAAGCAGAUAAAUCUCCUUCUGAGUUUCACCCCAAGUCAAUAGUAGCCUCAAGAACACAGCAAAUGAACUUAAUGCAGAUGGAGACAACGGAAGAAUAAACAUAGCUAUUCAUCAUGGCAGAGAGUCGGACAGGACUCAACAACUGGACAACAGCAACAGACAGUUCAUCGUGGCAGCCAGCAACAAGGAAGUGUCUCGGAUCGUCCAUGAGAUUCCUUACAAGCCAGAGGUGAAAAUCUAGGUUAUUUGAAGGUGUAUUCCAGAUGUAUCCGUGGAGAGAGAUGUACUCCACAUCCACCAUCUCCUCUGCCAUCUUUGAAUUUCUCUAGUAUCUACAAAGUGGCAAACUUCUGGCUGAAGGGGGAUGGAGUCAAGGCCAGCGGCAGGACUGCUUGGCCCAGUGCCAGCAUGCCUGGCAAAUUCCAAUAGGAUCUCCUUAGUCUCCGCAGAGUUUCUGAGCAUCCCAAGGAAACUGCAUGAAGCUGGAGCCCAGGCAGCUGGCACCGAAUUGUCACUGUGGCGUGGUGAUUCCCAGCUUGUCACCCCCAGAGGCUGGGUUGGUCUCUAUUUGUAAAAUAGAGAGUGGAGUACACGCAGAAUCCUAGCUAGCGAUUUCUUGGCUUGAGACUCUUGGUUCUACUGGAUUCCUUUUUAUUUCCUGAAAGCUGUGGGGUGAGCCAGUGGUCGCCAGUCGCAUCUAAGCAGAUGCUGCUCCGGCUUUGCCAAAUCUCGGCUAUUUGAAUCAGUUUUUGGGCAUCCCUGGUCAGUAAAGUUUAGGCCUGUCUCAGUGCUUACGGGUGGGGGAUAAACAGGCAGAGACCUAAGUCUCCACUGCAAACGUGAUAGUGGUGGAAUGAUGAGACUGUAAGAAAGAGGCCAUUCUGAGUGAUAGGUUAUCUUUCAAAGGAAGGAAAAGUACUGGAUAAGGAAGCAUCCUAUCUAGAUCAAGGAAUGCAUGUCUAAAGGGCUACAGAGAAGGGGAAGAGAAGCAGGCUCCCUGAGCACAGAGAAAGCAAGGAGAUUGAGGCUGAUAGCCCAUAUCCAUUAAUCCUCUAGGGACGCUUGUGAUAUAGGGGAGUAUGUGGAGGAAGGGUGGCCCUUAGUAAUUUGUCUAUUCUCAAAAAAAACCUUUUUAAAACUGAAGUGCAGUUGAUUUAUAAUGCUGUUUUAGUUUCAGGUGCAUAGAAAGUGAUCCAUUUGUGCAUGCAUAUAUAUCUUUUUAUUUUUUUCAGAUUCUUUUCUCUUAUUUUUUUUCCUCUUAUAGGUUAUUACAAAAUAUUGAGUGUAGUUCAAUAAGGGUCUAUUCUUUGACUGCUCUGUGCACUAGGAAGGCAUUUGGAUAUCUGCUCUUGUCUUAGGCCAGUACUCUGUGACAUAUUAAGCCAGUACCUCUUGUAAUUAGCAUGUGGCCUGUGGUUUCUCCUCUCUGCAACUAUUCCCCCGCUCCCCAGCCUGUUUCAGGGUUUUCUUCCUAUGAGGAUUCCAGAGGACACUCUCCUAUUGCCUUAUUCUAUCAACUGUUAUUCCUGUGAGUGAGGUUUGUUCACUACCUUCUUCCCUUUCUCUAAAGUACCUGGACUGAACUCCUGAUGUUUUUGUAAAGAAGCAACAAUAAACGAAGAUGAACAAUUAUUUAUUGAGCAUCUACUAAAUAUGUGUAAGGCCCUGGGAAAGCCAUGAUCAAUGGAAGUCUUUCCCUUAAGAAGGGGACAUCCUCUUAGGGAGGCACCUUUUAAGAGGAGAAAAUACAAUUACAGGCAAGUGUAUAUAAUAUAAUGUGUGUGCAUACCUAGUCCCUUCAGUCGUGUCCGACUCUCUGUGACCCUGUGGACCACAGCCUGCCGGGUUCCUCUGUCACGGGAUUCUCCAGGCAAGGACACUGGAGUGGGUUUCCGUGCCCUUCUCCAGGGGAUCUACCCGACCCAGGGAUUGAACCUGCGUCUCUUAUGUCUACCUGCAUUGGCAGGUGGGUUCUUUACCACUAGUGCCACCUGGGAAGCCCCUAAUAGAGUGUAAGAAGUUAUUAUUAAGAACAUUGCAGUGCUGACUAUGAACAAGUUUUUCUCAAGAAUUCCUCUGGGCCAGUGGAGCCCAUUCUGUCCCAGGAGAUUAUACCUCUCUCAGAGGUCAGCGUGAGUCAUUACCUGGCGGCAGGGCAGGGGUCAGAACAUAGGAGUGUAGAUGGAGGGAACGAAUCAGGGGCUGUGAACUGAGGCCACCUCGUCAAACAGAGGGCACUCUUGGCCCAGUGAUGGCCUCUGAGUCUCCCUCACCAGCCAUUAGGUGUUAUGAAGUGCUGAAGGAGCCAAGUUACAACAUGCAAGAUAAGCAUGCUUUCCCCUUGUAAAGGGAGCAUUUCUUGAUGCUAUCUCCUCUUCUUCCUCUUCUUAUUUAGAUUAAAACAGGGUGGGUUAGUCUAUAAACGUUUUUGAAGACGACUUUAGAGAGUCCCUUGGACUGCAAGGAGAUCCAACCAGUCCAUUCUGAAGGAGAUCAGGAUUUCUUUGGAAGGAAUGACGCUGAAGCUGAAACUCCAGUAUUUUGGCCACCUCAUGUGAAGAGUUGACUCAUUGGAAAAGACUCUGAUGCUGGGAGGGAUUUGGGGCAGGAGGAGAAGGGGAUGACAGGGGAUAAGAUGGCUGGAUGCCAUCACUGACUCGAUGGACGUUGAAUCUGAGUGAACUCCGGGAGUUGGUGAUGGACAGGGAGGCCUGGCAUGCUUCCAUUCAUGGGGUCGCAAAGAGUCGGACACCACUGAGUGAAUGAACUGAACUGAACUGAACUUAGAAGAAACUGGAAAGAAACUUGUCUGGAAGCUGGUUAGGAGAUUAUUUUGAAAUGAUGAUGUUUCCUAGAGCAGAGGUCCUGAAUUUUCAGGGAAGACUCUGAAAAUAAUGAACAAUGGGGACAGAAAAGACGCUCGUCCCAGGGCACAUGGUUGUAUCGCAGAGGAAGUAUCGCUCUGAGCUCCAGGACCCUCCCAUCCCAGGAACAGUUGAGGAAAAGAUGAUUUUGCAAACAGGAGGAACCAAAACUUGGCAUCAACCUUUGGAGAAAUACAGAUUAACUGAUGUCAGUAGAUGCAAAUGAGACGGCUUCAGAAUAAGAACCCGCUGAAUAAUGGAAAGAAUCAACCUACCUUUGGGAAGUCAUCUGUCUAAACAUCAUGAAUUAAAGCAUCUUUGUGUACUUGCAGAUUUUUUUUGUUGCCCAGUCCUGUCUGACUCUCUGUGACCCCAUGGACUGUAGCCUGCCAGGCUCCUCUGUUCAUGGGAUUUUCCAGGCAAAAAUACUGGAGUGGGUUGCCAUUUCCUUCUCCAUUUGCAAAGUUAAAGAAGUGAUAUUAAAAUAUUGUGUAAAUAGUCUCCUGUUUAGAGAAGGACACCAAUAUGAAAAAUUACCAAAAAAUGGACAGAAAAGACGUUGUUCUUAAAAACACGUAGGAUCUUCUUUCCCUUUAGCUAUUUUUCUUCUUCUUCC
ensembl:lincRNA